CAGCAUGGGAAGUUGGAGAGCAUAAGCAAUUGUUCUUUGUAGCACUUCGCUGUCUUGUAAUCUGAGGCAUAGUCGCUUGCAAUUUAGUAACAACACCAACAGAAAUGUUCUCAGUCUCUGAUGAUGAUGGAAUCUCCACUUUCAAUUUAGUCUUGUUGAUUAUAUGACCACUCUCCGUUAAUUCUUUCUGCUUUCCUUUUCUCCUGCAAAAUAAAUAAAUAAAUGAAUAGUCAAAGACAAAAUAAUAAUUAGCAGGAAGUCUGCAAAAGAAGCAAAAGAUUGAAUAUUGUGACCUAUAGAAGAAUCCUGAAAGCCCCCGGAAUUCUAAAAUGGACUUGGUGAUGAGGGAGUCUUUACUUUGGUGAGUGAAAUAAAGAAAGAUAUAUAGAGACAGAAAGAGAUGGAAUUAUAUGUGUAGAGAAAAGAUAAGAAAGGUG
rnacentral:misc_RNA from 1 species